rnacentral:rRNA from 1 species
AAAACGUUCGUAGUUGAACUUGUGCUUCAUACGGGUAGUAUAACUAUAAUUGUAGUCUGUACUAUACCUUAUGUAUGUAAGCGUAUUACCGGUGGAGUUCUUAUAUAUAUUAAAUACUUGUAUUUAUAUGUAUUCCUCCUAUUUAAACCUGCUUCAGUGCUCUUCAUUGCGUGCUGUUGUAGGCCGGUACAAUUACUUUGAACAAAUUAGAGUGCUUAAAGCAGGCUCCAAAUGCCUGAAUAUUUUGUGCAUGGAAUAAUGAAAUAAGACCUCUGUUCUACUUUCAUUGGUUUUUAGAUCAAGAGGUAAUGAUUAAUAGAAGCAGUUUGGGGGCAUUAGUAUUACGACGCGAGAGGUGAAAUUCUUGGACCGUCGUAAGACUAACUUAAGCGAAAGCAUUUGCCAAAGAUGUUUUCAUUAAUCAAGAACGAAAGUUAGAGGUUCGAAGGCGAUCAGAUACCGCCCUAGUUCUAACCAUAAACGAUGCCAGCUAGCAAUUGGGUGUAGCUACUAUUAUGGCUCUCUCAGUCGCUUCCCGGGAAACCAAAGCUUUUGGGCUCCGGGGGAAGUAUGGUUGCAAAGCUGAAACUUAAAGGAAUUGACGGAAGGGCACCACCAGGAGUGGAGCCUGCGGCUUAAUUUGACCCAACACGGGAAAACUUACCAGGUCCGAACAUAAGCGUGUAAGACAGAUUGAUAGCUCUUUCUCGAAUCUAUGGGUGGUGGUGCAUGGCCGUUCUUAGUUCGUGGAGUGAUUUGUCUGGUUAAUUCCGAUAACGAACGAGACUCAAAUAUAUUAAAUAGAUGCUUUCAGGAUUAUGGUGUUUGAAGCUUUUAUAGCCUUCAUUCAUGAAUGCAGUAACAUGUGUGAGUGUUUGAAUGUGUUUAUAAAGGUGGAGCCGUACCUGUUGGUUUGUCCCAUUAUAAGGACACUAGCUUCUUAAAUGGACAAAUUGCGUCUAGCAAUAAUGAGAUUGAGCAAUAACAGGUCUGUGAUGCCCUUAGAUGUCCUGGGCUGCACGCGCGCUACAAUGAAAGUAUCAACGUGUAUUUCCUAGACCGAGAGGUCCGGGUAAACCGCUGAACCACUUUCAUGCUUGGGAUUGUGAACUGAAACUGUUCACAUGAACUUGGAAUUCCCAGUAAGUGUGAGUCAUUAACUCGCAUUGAUUACGUCCCUGCCCUUUGUACACACCGCCCGUCGCUACUACCGAUUGAAUUAUUUAGUGAGGUCUCCGGACGUGAUCACUGUAACGCCUUGCGUGUUACGGAUGUUUCGCAAAAGUUGACCGAACUUGAUUAUUUAGAGGAAGUAAAAGUC